rnacentral:rRNA from 1 species
UACGGAGGGAGCUAGCGUUAUUCGGAAUUACUGGGCGUAAAGCGCACGUAGGCGGCUUUGUAAGUUAGAGGUGAAAGCCUGGAGCUCAACUCCAGAACUGCCUUUAAGACUGCAUCGCUUGAAUCCAGGAGAGGUGAGUGGAAUUCCGAGUGUAGAGGUGAAAUUCGUAGAUAUUCGGAAGAACACCAGUGGCGAAGGCGGCUCACUGGCCCGAUACUGACGCUGAGGCA